GUCCCGUUCGUCUAGAGGCCUAGGACACCGCCCUUUCACGGCGGCAACACGGGUUCGAAUCCCGUACGGGAUGCCA
rnacentral:tRNA from 4 species